AUAUUGCACAAUGGGGGGAACCCUGAUGCAGCAAUGCCGCGUGGGUGAGGAAGCACUCCGGUGCGUAAAGCCCUGUCAGCAGGGAAGAAAAUGACAGUACCUGACCAAGAGGCCCCGGCUAACUACGUGCCAGCAGCCGCGGUAAUACGUAGGGGGCAAGCGUUAUCCGGAUUUACUGGGUGUAAAGGGAGCGCAGGCGGUAUGGCAAGUCAGAUGUGAAAACCCAGGGCUCAACCCUGGGACUGCAUUUGAAACUGCCAUACUGGAGUGCCGGAGAGGUAAGUGGAAUUCCUAGUGUAGCGGUGAAAUGCGUAGAUAUUAGGAGGAACACCAGUGGCGAAGGCGGCUUACUGGACGGUAACUGACGCUGAGGCUCGAAAGCGUGGGGAGCAAACAGG
rnacentral:rRNA from 1 species